CCUACGGGGGGCAGCAGUGGGGAAUCUUGCGCAAUGGGGGCAACCCUGACGCAGCCAUGCCGCGUGAACGAUGAAGGCCUUAGGGUUGUAAAGUUCUUUUACCCGUGACGAUGAUGACGGUAACGGGGGAAUAAGCUCCGGCUAACUUCGUGCCAGCAGCCGCGGUAAUACGAAGGGGGCUAGCGUUGUUCGGAAUUACUGGGCGUAAAGCGCGCGCAGGCGGUUCGAUAAGUUGGGGGUGAAAUCCCCGGGCUCAACCCGGGAAUGGCCUUCAAGACUGUCGAGCUAGAGGACGAGAGAGGUGAGUGGAAUUCCCAGUGUAGAGGUGAAAUUCGUAGAUAUUGGGAAGAACACCGGUGGCGAAGGCGGCUCACUGGCUCGUUUCUGACGCUGAGGCGCGAAAGCGUGGGGAGCAAACAGGCUUAGAUACCCUUGUAGUC
rnacentral:rRNA from 1 species